rnacentral:rRNA from 1 species
GUUUGAUCACGGCUCAGAUUGAACGCUGGCGGUAGGCCUAACACAUGCAAGUCGAACGCGAAAGUCCUUCGGGAUGAGUAGAAUGGCGGACGGGUGAGUAACGCGUAGGAAUCUAUCCUGUAGUGGGGGAUAACGUUUCGAAAGGAACGCUAAUACCGCAUACGCCCCAAGGGGGAAAGCGGGGGAUCUUCGGACCUCGUGCUAUAGGAGGAGCCUGCGUCGGAUUAGCUAGUUGGUGAGGUAAAGGCUCACCAAGGCGACGAUCCGUAGCUGGUCUGAGAGGAUGAUCAGCCACACCGGAACUGAGACACGGUCCGGACUCCUACGGGAGGCAGCAGUGGGGAAUAUUGCGCAAUGAGCGAAAGCCUGACGCAGCCAUACCGCGUGUGUGAAGAAGGCCUUCGGGUUGUAAAGCACUUUCAGUGGGGAGGAAAAGCUGGCGGCUAAUAUCCGCUGGCCGUGACGCUACCCACAGAAGAAGCACCGGCUAAUUCCGUGCCAGCAGCCGCGGUAAUACGGAAGGUGCGAGCGUUAAUCGGAAUUACUGGGCGUAAAGCGCACGUAGGUGGCUUGGUAAGUCGGAUGUGAAAGCCCCGGGCUCAACCUGGGAACGGCAUUCGAUACUGCUGAGCUAGAGUACGAAAGAGGGGGGUGGAAUUCCAGGUGUAGCGGUAAAAUGCGUAGAGAUCUGGAGGAACACCAGUGGCGAAGGCGGCCCCCUGGUUCGAUACUGACGCUGAGGUGCGAAAGCGUGGGGAGCAAACAGGAUUAGAUACCCUGGUAGUCCACGCCGUAAACGAUGUCUGCUAGCCGUUGGGAUCCUUGAGGUUUCGGUGGCGCAGCUAACGCGAUAAGCAGACCGCCUGGGGAGUACGGCCGCAAGGUUAAAACUCAAAUGAAUUGACGGGGGCCCGCACAAGCGGUGGAGCAUGUGGUUUAAUUCGAUGCAACGCGAAGAACCUUAUCCUGGACUUGACAUGCAUGGAUUAACCCAGUGAAAGCUGGGCCACGCCUUCGGGUGGAACAUGCACAGGUGCUGCAUGGCUGUCGUCAGCUCGUGUCGUGAGACGUCGCGUUAAGUCGCUUAACGAGCGCAACCCUUGUCCUUAGUUGCCAGCAUUCAGUUGGGGACUCUAAGGAGACCGCCGGUGUCAAACCGGAGGAAGGUGGGGACGACGUCAAGUCAUCAUGGCCUUUAUGUCCAGGGCUGCACACGUCAUACAAUGCGGCAUACAAAGGGCAGCGAACCCGCGAGGGGAAGCUAAUCUCAAAAAGUGUCGCUCAGUUCGGAUUGCAGGCUGCAACUCGCCUGCAUGAAGCUGGAAUCGCUAGUAAUCGCAGAUCAGCUAUGCUGCGGUGAAUAUGUUCCUGAGCCUUGUACACACCGCCCGUCAAGCCACGAAAGCGGGGGGCGCCUAAAGUCGCUGUGCUAACCG